rnacentral:rRNA from 1 species
CGGCUGCUAAUACCGCAUAAGCGCACGAGGNUGCAUGGCCUUGUGUGAAAAACUCCGGUGGUAUGGGAUGGAUCCGCGUCUGAUUAGCUAGUUGGUGAGAUAAAAGCCCACCAAGGCGACGAUCAGUAGCCGACCUGAGAGGGUGGCCGGCCACAUUGGGACUGAGACACGGCCCAGACUCCUACGGGAGGCAGCAGUGGGGAAUAUUGCACAAUGGGGGAAACCCUGAUGCAGCGACGCCGCGUGAGUGAAGAAGUAAUUCGUUAUGUAAAGCUCUAUCAGCAGGGAAGAAACAGACGGUACCUGAGUAAGAAGCCCCGGCUAACUACGUGCCAGCAGCCGCGGUAAUACGUAGGGGGCAAGCGUUAUCCGGAUUUACUGGGUGUAAAGGGAGCGUAGACGGCGAAGAAAGUCUGAAGUGAAAGCCCGCGGCUUAACCGCGGAACUGCUUUGGAAACUUUUUUGCUGGAGUACCGGAGAGGUAAGCGGAAUUCCUAGUGUAGCGGUGAAAUGCGUAGAUAUUAGGAGGAACACCAGUGGCGAAGGCGGCUUACUGGACGGUAACUGACGUUGAGGCUCGAAAGCGUGGGGAGCAACAGGAUUAGAUACCCUGGUAGUCCACGCGGUAAACGAUGAAUGCUAGGUGU